rnacentral:lncRNA from 1 species
CAGGUUACCAUAUGGAAGUGCAGAUCCAAUGGGGAGAGAGAACGAGGUUCCCUUGUCCCAUUCUGCCCUGCAGUGCCGAGGCAUUAUAGAGUAAUCAACAGAAGCAAGUUGCUUUAGAUUCAGACAUUACCUGGAUUCCCAAUCUUUCAAUCCAUGAUACUUGGCUUUUUUUGUGCUCAGAUAUUAGAGCAAAGCUUUUCCUGUUCUUCCUGUUUAUUUAAAGAUUCUGCAGUGAAUUCAAGGUAAGACCAUUUUUAACUACUUAUCUAUGUGAAUCAGAAUGGUCUUGCCAUUGUGCAACCAAAGUAAAAAAAAAAAGUAGAAAGUUAGAAGUUGACAUGGAUUUAAAAUUCUCAUUUCUAAUUUUGUGUUAAUUGGAAAAACUUAAUUAUUCUCAAUAACUGACUUUAUAAUAAGUACAUAUUAUAAUUUACUUAAAAAAACCUUUAUACCAAAAAUGACUCACUGUUUUGUUUUGUUUUCUGUUUUAAAUAUUGAAGUUUCAUGUAAGGUUUCCUUUGGAGCUAAAAAAGGC